rnacentral:rRNA from 1 species
AACGAACGCUGGCGGCAGGCCUAACACAUGCAAGUCGAGCGCCCCGCAAGGGGAGCGGCGGACGGGUGAGUAACGCGUGGGAACGUGCCUCUUGCUACGGAAUAGCCUCGGGAAACUGGGAGUAAUACCGUAUGUGCCCUACGGGGGAAAGAUUUAUCGGCAAGAGAUCGGCCCGCGUUGGAUUAGGUAGUUGGUGGGGUAAUGGCCUACCAAGCCGACGAUCCAUAGCUGGUUUGAGAGGAUGAUCAGCCACACUGGGACUGAGACACGGCCCAGACUCCUACGGGAGGCCGCAGUGGGGAAUAUUGGACAAUGGGCGAAAGCCUGAUCCAGCAAUGCCGCGUGAGUGAUGAAGGCCUUAGGGUUGUAAAGCUCUUUUACCAGGGAUGAUAAUGACAGUACCUGGAGAAUAAGCUCCGGCUAACUCCGUGCCAGCAGCCG